rnacentral:lncRNA from 1 species
GCGCCUUUAACAAGGAGCUUUCCCAGCAAGGGCUGCCGGUAGGUUUUUUUUUUUUCUGCACAGACCUGUCCUUUGAAGGAGGUUCUCGACUUUCCUUCAUGGAAACUGACAAAGUGAAGGCUGGUCUCCGAGUCCCCAGGAAGCCGCCGACUUCAUCUCAGAGGGGGCAGUCACCCACCGGCCAGCGGCUGGGGUCAGCUGGCGCAAGGACGGGGCACCGAGAAACACAGAUUCUUCGAAUUCCACCGCUCCCCGGGGCGAUUUCAUAUCCCAAACCAUAGCUGCUCACUUCGACAGAAACGUGUCCCCGCGGGCGUCCAGCGGCAGAGCUCAGCGCUCGGCGCCCGCCCCUCGCCGCGCCUGGCCGCUUCCCCUUCCCCGCCCUGGCCCUCC